rnacentral:lncRNA from 10 species
CGGGUCGCAGAAUCGAAGCCUGUGCAGGAACAAAUGGGGGCAGACUGAGCCACGAGCUUGAAGAGCCGGCUCUGCAUGAUUGUAUUAUCCCAAGAGACUCCGGCCCUGUUUCUCCCGCGCACAGAAGGGUUCUGUGCGCACUGAGGUUCAAAUGCAAGAAUAAUUGUGAACACAAAAGUACUAUUCCAAGGCAGAGACCACCGCCAUUCCUUGAACCUCACGGUAACUAUGUGCCAAGAGCUGCAUGAACCCGACCGAACUGAAUAGGAUGUGCAAGGACAUGAUAUAUGAGAAGACUUGAGUUCCAGUCCUGACUAUGGCACUGCCAGACACAGCUUUUAAGUUGUCU